UCACAGAGUGAGGUAAGUGUAGAG
rnacentral:siRNA from 1 species